rnacentral:tRNA from 1 species
GCAGUAAUGGCUCAGUUGGUUAGAGCAUGGUGCUGAUAACACCAAGGUUGCAGGUUUGAUCCCCCUAUGGGACAACUGCA